rnacentral:rRNA from 1 species
UACGGAGGGUCCAAGCGUUAUCCGGAUUUAUUGGGUUUAAAGGGUCCGCAGGCGGGAAAAUAAGUCAGUGGUGAAAUCCUAUCGCUUAACGAUAGAACUGCCAUUGAUACUGUUUUUCUUGAGUGUAAUUGAAGUGGGCGGAAUGUGUCAUGUAGCGGUGAAAUGCAUAGAUAUGACACAGAACACCGAUUGCGAAGGCAGCUCACUAAAUUAUUACUGACGCUCAGGGACGAAAGCGUGGGGAGCAAACAGGAUUAGAUACCCUGGUAGUCCACGCCGUAAACGAUGAUUACUCGGUGCUAGCGAUAUACGGUUAGUGCCUAAGCGAAAGUGAUAAGUAAUCCACCUGGGGAAUACGGUCGCAAGAUUGAA